rnacentral:rRNA from 1 species
GAUGAACGCUGGCGGCGUGCCUAAUACAUGCAAGUCGAACGAGGUGCUUUUGUAGUAAUACGAAGGUAUCCUAGUGGCGAACGGGUGAGUAACGCGUUGGUGACCUACCCAAAGCGUGGGAUAACAGUUCGAAAGGACUGCUAAUACCGCAUGAGGUCGCGAUAGUCAGAGAGUUGCGACGAAAGGAGAAAUCCGCUUUGGGAGGGGCCUGCGUCCCAUCAGCUAGUUGGUAGGGUAAAAGCCUACCAAGGCGACGACGGGUAGGGGACCUGAGGGGGUGAUCCCCCACACUGGCACUGAAACACGGGCCAGAGACCUACGGGUGGCAGCAGUAGGGAAUAUUGCACAAGGGGCGAAAGCCAGAUGCAGCAACGCCGCGUGCGCGAUGAAGGCCUUCGGGUUGUAAAGCGCUUUUCGGGGAGAUGAGGAAGGACAGUAUCCCCGGAAUAAGGCUCGGCUAACUACGUGCCAGCCGCCGCAGUAAUAC